GACGAACGCUGGCGGCGUGCCUAAUACAUGCAAGUCGAGCGGAGCGGCGGACGGGUGAGUAAUGCCUAGGAAUCUGCCUGGUAGUGGGGGAUAACGUCCGGAAACGGGCGCUAAUACCGCAUACUCUCCGAUGCGCCUAGGUCGGAUUAGCUAGGUGGGGGGGUAAAGGCCUACCAAGGCGACGAUCCGUAACUGGUCUGAGAGGAUGAUCAGUCACACUGGAACUGAGACACGGGCCAGACUCCUACGGGAGGCAGCAGUGGGGAAUAUUGGACAAUGGGCGAAAGCCUGAUGCAGCCAUGCCGCGUGUAUGAAGAAGGUCUUCGGGUUGUAAAGCACUUUAAGUUGGGAGGCGUUACCAACAGAAUAAGCACCGGCUAACUCCGUGCCAGCAGCCGCGGUAAUAC
rnacentral:rRNA from 1 species